rnacentral:rRNA from 1 species
CCGAACCUACGGGGGGCAGCAGUGAGGAAUAUUGGUCAAUGGCCGAGAGGCUGAACCAGCCAAGUCGCGUGAGGGAUGACGGCCCUACGGGUUGUAAACCUCUUUUGUCGGGGAGCAAAGAGAGUCACGUGUGACUCAUUGAGAGUACCCGAAGAAAAAGCAUCGGCUAACUCCGUGCCAGCAGCCGCGGUAAUACGGAGGAUGCGCGCGUUAUCCGGAUUUAUUGGGUUUAAAGGGUGCGCAGGCGGAGGUGCAAGUCAGCGG